rnacentral:lncRNA from 1 species
CACACGGUUCGAGAGCCAUUUUGUACCACCUCUCCUGGUGCUAUCGUAGCCUAGUAGUGAGGUAAACGAUAGAGACGUCAAACAUUUCAGGAUUCACUGAAAACGAUUCAAGUAGCCUGACCGCUACACAUAAAGGUCAACAUAAGUAGUUUUAUUUUACUUUAUCAAAUGAGGAUUAACGAAACACUAGACAUGGAUGGGUUUCAAUCAGUACUCUCAGCCACAGGUUAGUCAUACAAUGUACUCUGACAGUUACACACGAAAUGGAAUCACGAGUUCGGACCAAGGAGUAACCUAUGACAAGUUAAACAGGUACCACAACAUUACUGAAAGAGUACAUACCUAGAUAAAAGGGGAACCAAUGAGAGGACAUCACAAAAUGGAACAAACUUGGGGAUUAUCGCACAUUUUACCAGAGAGAUGUACUCCAUUCUACAGUACUUAAACGUGUCUACAGCACCCUACGGACAUAAGACGCAAUCUGAUGGAUACCUGUCGGAUCUUAGAGGUACUGACAUUAACACUAUACGCGACAGUGCUGGUGGAACCCGCCACUUACUUUGGGACUACCAGAUUCCCAUAUCCCAGCUACUGUAUCUGUCAGGAAUCUAGCAAGUCCAGUAACACGGUAACUACAGUACACGAAGGUGACACUUUGAGCACAGUGACCUCCGCCUUGGCGUACACACUAUUCAGCGCUGUUUUCAACAUUGACGCCGACCUGGGAUAUUGUGUGGUGGACCAAAUAGUUAGAGAAAACUUUCCGUCGUUUAAAGACGUGGAUACGAGCAAUAUAACCACACAACAGGAUCUGUUCCGGGAAGUAUCAGCUAUACAUUUUACAACCCUCUCCUACACAGACGCCUGCAUAGCCUAUGUAUUGUUUCCGUUCUAACGUUGUUAUAAAUCGCGGCAACCGCUGUUUGUAUCAUAUGAAGGUAGUGAUACUUCAUGAGACUACAGUACAAGGUCAACGAUGACAUAACUAGUUAACAUAAGAUGUGUAUCAAGUUAAAAUAGUUAUAUGCAUGUGUUUAUAUCAAUAAGGCUAUAAAUAUGAACGAAACCCUAAAAAAGUAUGUGCCAAUUGUUGUUGACUUCAGAUACGAGGUUUCAUGCUUUAGACCCUAAGUUCCACUGACGAGUCCUACGUGGACGAGAUUAUAUUGUAUUUAACUAGGUACUUCCUUAGCUGUAUUUCUAGUGGUAUUCAAACUCAUUGUAAAAGUGCCGUAACGGUGAACGUGCACGUGUAAUGCUUUUAUAGGGCUUAACCUGACGCGACUUUGAUAGAUCUUGUUAACGUCCUAGUUCGGUAUACGGCGUGUGUUUAUUGUUAUCACUACCAAAAAUGGGCAAGAUUAUUUACUGUACUUCAUCUUCUUUAUCCAUCAAACCCUUUUCAAUUCAUGUUUUUUUCACGCAUUUAAAUUAAAUUAAAUUUAUAGAACAGAGAAUGUUCUAAAAGUUCACACAGUUUGCGAUUUUAGGAUCAGAUGUCUGCCAGAGAACAAUAAAUUCACAAACAUGUAAUGAGCAUAUUGCUUUGAAAUUACGUCAUAUAUAAUCACAAAACGUUUUGAAUACACGUACAAUUCACAUAUCCGUUUCCAUCAUAUAUAUGUGUAUAAUGCAAUGUUCUUACUGAGGAAAAUCUCACUUUAUAAUCAAUAUUUAACGCAUAUCAGUUCAAUUUUAUUUUAAAAUAUUACAUUAACACUCACACCUGGAAUUUGUGUUAUCUCCCUUAGUUUUCCCAAUUGGCGUUUUCUAAUAAUUAUAAUUAUGUAAUUCGAAUAACUCACUUGCGUGUUACAACGCAAGUGUUUGUUUAUUUGUCGAGUGGUCAUCGAAAAUUAUACCACGUUCAAAUAUUACAAUUCAUAAGAGAUAUUUUACAUGUUUUUCUAGUAAUUAACUCUUUUAUAAAUGAAACAAAUUUCACGGUAAUGUAGCAUAUCGUUCUAAGCUUUUGUAAGAAUAUUUUUAAAUGAACGUUCCAUUACGAUUACGUGAAUACGGCAAUGUAUGUGUAAAGAGAAUAAAAUAUGUGUAUCUGAACAUUUCA